rnacentral:rRNA from 1 species
GUAGGUGGCAAGCGUUGUCCGGAUUUACUGGGCGUAAAGAGCGCGCAGGCGGUCGAGUAAGUCGAAUGUGAAAGCUCCCGGCUCAACUGGGAAGGGUCAUUCGAUACUGUUCGACUCGAAGGUAGGAGAGGGAAGCGGAAUUCCCGGUGUAGUGGUGAAAUGCGUAGAUAUCGGGAGGAACACCAGUGGCGAAGCCGGCUUUCUGGCCUAUUCUUGACGCUGAGGCGCGAAAGCUAGGGGAGCGAACGGGAUUAGAUACCCCGGUAGUCCUAGCCGUAAACGAUGAACACUAGAUGUUGGUGGUAUCAACCCCGCCAGUGUCGCAGCUAACGCAUUAAGUGUUCCGCCUGGGGAGUACGGCCGCAAGGCUA